rnacentral:rRNA from 1 species
CCUACGGGUGGCAGCAGUGGGGAAUAUUGCACAAUGGGGGAAACCCUGAUGCAGCGACGCCGCGUGUGUGAAGAAGUAAUUCGUUAUGUAAAGCUCUAUCAGCAGGGAGGAAAAUGACGGUACCUGUGUAAGAAGCCCCGGCUAACGACGUGCCAGCAGCCGCGGGAAUACGGAGGGGGCAAGCGUUAUCCGGAUUUACUGGGUGUAGAGGGAGCGUAGACGGCAGUGCAAGACUGGAGUGAAAGGCGGGGGCUCAACCCCCGGACUGCUCUGGAAACUGUACGGCUGGAGUGCAGGAGAGGUAAGUGGAAUUCCUAGUGUAGCGGUGAAAUGCGUAGAUAUUAGGAGGAACACCAGUGGCGAAGGCGGCUUACUGGACUGUAACUGACGUUGAGGCUCGAAAGCGUGGGGAGCAAACAGGAUUAGAUACCCCGGUAGUC